rnacentral:tRNA from 1 species
ACCUGGCUGGCUCAGUUGGUAGAGUAUGUGACUCUUGAUCUCGGGGUUGUGAGUUUGAGCCCCACACUGGGUA